AAUAUAGAUUUUCUUGUCAUGCUUGGUUUGAAUUCAGUACGCAAAUCCUCUUUGUACAUAAUUGGUGGGUUAGUUUACUAGGGUGAAAUUGUAGGUUAUCAAUUGGUAUGAGGUGAAGCUUGUGUUUAUGGCAAGAUACAUGUAUCAGAAAUAUAUGAGGGAGAAAAUUCUGAGGUACAGAAGAGGCAAAGUCCAUCAUGAUUCAUCUAACAAGUCCCCAAAUUGGCAAAGGGGGAACAGGAGGCUUACUAAAGAAACAGUGUUUAACUUUGAUUAGCUAUAGCAUGAACUGCUUGUCAUUGCUAAAAGUAUCUUUCCUGCAUGCUACUCUUGGAUAGUUGGAACCAUUACUUUUGCGGUAACAUACAAAAAAGCUUUUCUUCAUUAUGCUGUUUUUAUAAUCUUUUGGUAAUUCUUUGUUGCUAAUUUCUAUUAUUUCUUUCAUUUUCCUGUGCAUUUUUGUGCAGUUAGUCCUCAAAGCAUUUGGAUGGAAAUUAUUCUGGUGUUGAUUUAAUUGUUCUAGCUGCUAACUUUGCCGGCUGCAGUACUUUUACUAACAGAGUACUGUGAGAGUGUCUCAAGUGAGACUGAGAAUGUUGGUCUU